rnacentral:rRNA from 1 species
UACGUAGGGUGCAAGCGUUGUCCGGAAUUAUUGGGCGUAAAGAGCUCGUAGGCGGUUUGUCGCGUCGGCUGUGAAGACUCGGGGCUCAACCCCGAGCCUGCAGUCGAUACGGGCAGACUAGAGUGCUGUAGGGGAGACUGGAAUUCCUGGUGUAGCGGUGAAAUGCGCAGAUAUCAGGAGGAACACCGGUGGCGAAGGCGGGUCUCUGGGCCGAUACUGACGCUGAGGAGCGAAAGCGUGGGGAGCAAACAGG